rnacentral:sRNA from 1 species
UCAGAUAUUCCAGAGCCUGAAAGGGAACAAAAACGCCGCAAAAUUGAUACCCACCCUUCUCCAUCACAUUCCUCCACAGUAAAGGUUAGUAUAGCCUGAGGAAGGCAGCGUCCAUGUUAGGCUCACCUGUUUGGAAUACCAGUGUCCUGACUUCCUUCAAGUCUUAUGCCAAGCAUUCACUGGAGCCACUGGAGGUUUUAUAUUGCAUUAGAAAAUGAAUUUUUCUAUAUUGGUGGACUGAUUUUUUUUCCUAUUGAGUAUUUUUAUUAUAAAAAUAUUAAAACUUCAAGGACUUAGCACUAAUUUUGUAGUGUUUCAAAGUGCAAGAGAAAUUUUACCCAGAAGUGCCUCAACUGCUUUAAGCAGUCUUUUUUGGAGUGCAAUGGUAGCUACAAGCAAACGAAUCUUUUCAGCAGAAUGAAGCCUAUUUUUCAGCAUAUUGAAGAAUAUAUAGCACUGAAGACUUCCUGGAUGACACAGGAUAAACAAGUUACCUCUGAAUUCAAGCUUCUUGAUGAGCAUCAUACCGAUGUGUGCCUUCUAAGAAGGAGUCUUGAAAGGAGUUCCAUUUUAAAGUCUCCUUGGUGAUCAGUUCUCCUGUAGUUGUGUAUAUUCAGUGAGCAUGCAGCUUCUGUUGUGUCUUCCCUUGGAGGUUUGUUUAUAC